CUCCGCGCGCCUGCCCACGCGCUCCGGUACUCGCUGCUCGCGGCUGGCCGGCUCGGGAUUCCGGGCUUUCUUCCCGAGACCGCGUCCCCCAGCUGGGCCGAAGGUGGACGCUCAGGGGCUGGAGGCUCAGCGGAAUCCCCUGCGUUCAGUAGCCCCGCUCUCCCCUGUCCCGAAGGUUGGUCUCGUCUCGCGCGGCCCUCCCUCCAGGGCACCACCUGGCUCCCCACGCCUUUUAACUUCAGCAAACGGCACUAGAUUUACCCCCUGACUAUCCCAGAUUUCCCCCAGAAAUUACUGGAAAACGACAUCCCCCGUCCCUUUCUCCAGGGGAUCUCUCUGAAAUCUCCUUCGGGCAACGCUAGCUACAAACGGAGAAAGAAAUUAGAAAGCGACCCAAAUAAUGGUCGGGCGCGGUGGUUCACGCCUGUAACCCCAGUACUUUGGGAGGCCAAGGCAGGCGGAUCACCUGAGGUCAGGAGUUCGAGACCAGCCUGGCCAACAUAUAGUAAAACCCGUCUCUGCCAAAAAAAGUACAAAAAAUUAGCUGGGCAUAGUGGCGCACGCCUGUAGCCCCAGCUACUUGGGAAGCUGAGACAGGAGAAUCGCAGGAAUCUAGGAGGCGGAGGUUGCAGUGAGCCGAGAUCUCGCCACUGCACUCCAGCCUGGGCGAGAGAGUAAGACUCUCCGUUUCUCUCAAAAAAAAAAAAAAAAAAAGGAAAGAAAAGAAAGCGACCCAAAUGAGUUGUGUGCAAACAUUAUGAAAGUGUUGUGACUGCCAGCUGGUAGCCAUUUAUGAAGCCGGGGUAAAAAUCUAGAAACUGCUGCGCGAGGAGGGAUGGGCCCGGAUCUCUCCUUAUUCGUUUGCUCUUUGCUGAAAGGAUGGCAGCGAUCCUCCCCGUCCACUGGCAAGUGAGUUUCGUGUGGAUUGUUUACCGAUGAUCAAUCUCUCACAGGAGGCCAGGCACUGCCCCACUACAUGUACAAAACACUCCAAGCUGUCCGCAAAUGUUAUGAAGGCUUAAAAUAAUCCUAACGAUUCCAGACUGUGGAUAGAGAUAGAAAAAAUUAGGACUCACCACCACCACCUCGCCCUACAUCUGACAAAGUGGGAACAGAAGCAGUUAAGGAAUGAACAGCAGAACCGUUUCUACACCAACAGAAUUUCCUGUACAUGGGCUGGUUAAAAGUAUCCAUACUUUUUAUUCUAAUCAUUUCUAAGUUUUCUAGAGCACCUCCAAAAUACAAAUGAAAACUGCGCAGUGUAUAGUGGCCUGAGAUAUUGAGAAUUCUGCCAGUCUUCAGUCACCGUGUUCUCCACAGAUGCAUUGUCUUAUUUUAACUCCAGAGGCGUCCUCUUUUUUCUUUCUCAUUAGGAUUACUCUGCCCCUCAGCGGUUCCAGUGCCCUCAAAGCAAUCUGUCUCUGAAGUACUGGCUAUCUUCUGAGCGUGUGCCAGAAGAUCCAGCUUUGUUGAAAAGCGAAGCCGUUAGUCCCUUAAUACAAAGGAGACAAAUUGAUUUAUGCCUGGGGCACCAUCACCAAAAGAAGAGGAAAUGGAUGCAAGCCUUCCCAGAACAACAGAAAGAGUCUCGCUCUGUUGCCAGGCUGAAGUGCUAUGGUGUGAUCUCAGCUCACUGCAACCUCCGCUUUCUGGGUUCAAGCAAUUCUCAUGCCUCAGCCUCCCGAGUAGCUGGGAUUACAGGCACAUGCCACCACGCCCAGCUAAUUUUUGUAAUCUUAGUAGAGAUGGAGUUUCACCAUGUUAGCCAGGCUGGUCUUGAACUCCUGACCUCAAGUAAUCCGCCAGCCUCAGCCUCCCAAAGUGCUGGGAUUACAGGUGUGAGCCACUGUGCUCAGCCAAAAAACUUGCAUUUUAAAGAAAGUUUUCCAGAACUGGGCUUGUUCCAUUCAAUAAGUAGAUUGAGUUACAACUAUGCACUUAGCUUCAUGUGACACUGAAGGGAAUAUGAAGAAGAAAGAAGACAAAUUCUGCUUAUACUCUGAUAGGACGACCUCUGCUAUUUUCCUUCUGAAGCUUUGCAGAGAGCAGUGAAUUGUAAUGAAAGGAGAUUUGGGAGUAAAGACUCCGUGAGGUAUUGAAGUCUCUAGGGGAACCUCAUUAUAGCAUUCCUCUUCCCAGCCUGGAUUCUGAACAAUUUGAGAAAUAAAAAGCAAAUGUGAAGCACACUGAGGCCAAAGUAUCACCUUUAGAACCAGUAAAGAUGAAUUGGAAUUCCAGGCAUGGCAGGCCAAGGCAGACAUCAUCCUUAGAGGCAGAGUCCCUGGAGGGGAAGAGGAAGGAGAUAAAGCUGAAGCAAGCAAGCCAGGGCAAGUCACUUUGACACCCCAGGGACAGAAAGGGACCAGGAGUAUGGUCAGCUGCAACUAGGAACUGGGGAAAGAUGUUCCCGCAUCACUGGUUUUUUCCGCUCCUCAGAUGCGUGACGUUGGAUGAGUCCAUUAAUCCCUCUAUCCAUUAUCAUCUUUUCUAAACCAAAGGAUUUUACUAGAUCAUCUCUGAAAUUUCUUCCAGGUCUACAGUGGUAUGAUUAUAUAAAUUACUAGACCCAUAGUAAAUCAUCUAAGAGCUCAUAUGACCUUAUUUAGAAAGGAAAUUACAAAUCUUUUACACUUGGAUCUGGAAUUGCUUUUGUAAAUGUGAAGCUACUAUGAGUUGAAUUACACUUUUGUUUCAGAGAUUGACUUUAUGAAGAUCCUUAGGAAGUUUUAAAGUUGAAUAAGAUUCUUCUUCUUACCUUUAAUCAUCACUUUUACAUCUCAUUUGUGGAGAAUCAAAAGUCACUGGAAUCAAAAGUCACUGACCCACAAAGUGUCUUCCUCUUGCAAGAUGGGCAAAUGGAUCCACAACAACAUAAAACCCAGCAUCACACUGACGGUUACAGAUCUGUUUCUGCCGGGUUGAGUCUCCUGGCCACCAGAAUCCCAGAGCUCUCACCCAGGCUGAGAUGCAAAAGCCACAAGCACAGUGGGGAGAGAGGAAAAUAAGAGAAGGAGCCCAUGACUUUGAGAUGUGAAAUAAAGGAGAACCAACAAUACUCUGUGCCUACUCAUGAGCACCUCGGUGUACUCCAGAACUUUCAUUUCAAAAAGUUAAAUAGGAACCUUUGUCCAGAGAUUGGCUCAGAUGUUCUCAUUAGAUCUUAGCUUGAAGCCUCUUCUGCCAGUUCCUCCCUGUUUUUAUAGUAAGUCUCAUAAGGCAUGGUCCUGGACCCACAGCCCUGUAUCAUAUGGAAAAAUGAUGCAGGCCGGGCAUGGUGGCUCAUGCCUGUAAUCCCAGCACUUUGGGAAGCCAAGGCGGGUGGAUCAUUUGAGGUCAGGAGUUCAAGACCAGCCUGGCCAACAUGAUGAAACCCCAUCUCUACUAAAAAAAAAUACAAAAAUUAGCCAGGCGUGGUGGCGAACGCCUGUAGUCCCAGCUACUCAGGAGGCUGAGGCAGAAGAAUUGCUUGAACCUGGGAGGCAGAGGUUGCAGUGAGCCGAGAUCAUGCCACUACACUCUAGCCUGGGCGACAGAGCGAGACUCUGUCUCAAAAAUAAAUAAAUAAAAUAAUUAAUUAAAAAUGAUGCGGAACAACAAUGAGUUAUGUUCAACUCAUUGAAAAGUUGUGUUGCCAAGAGUGUGAGUAUGGUUGGAAAGAUUAAUGAAAGGUUUGUGUUUCGGUUUGUGGCUUUGGUCACUGCUUGCCUCUCUGCCUCUUAAGCUGCCCAUUCGAUUCAAAUUAAGCAGUGUUUCUCAGACUGUGCCUGCCAGCAUGCUGUACAUGCAGCUGCUGCCUUCCAUCCAUCACAGCCUAACUUACCCCCGCUCCAAGUUCCAGGUCAGCCUUUCCUGAUUGCAUUCCUUGUCCCUGUCAUGCUUCAAGCUGCCCUCCUUCUGGCUAUUCAUCACCCAGCAAUUGUUGCUGUUAGCUGUCUUUCUCACAUGACCAGUCCUGCAAAGUGUGCCAGACAGGAAUGCCAGUGGGCUGGCUGCAUGCCAGGAUGUUGCCUGGAAUUUGUUAGUGCUCUUAAGCACCAUGGAUAAAUGCCGCUGGUGAAACCUUGUGUGAAGUCAACUUGCAAUAUCUAAGGACAUCUAAGGCCCAGCUCUUUGUCUACGAAGUUAGAAAUCAUCCUUGAGUCUAUGUCUGAGCUGCCAUAUGAACUAGUGCUUAAAUAUAAUACAGGCUCUUGAGUCAGACUACAGGGGCCUUCCAGCAACCUGAGAAGUUACUUUAGCUCUGCUCUGUUUCAUACCUCCAAGAGUCAUUUUGGGGACUGCAUGAGUUAAUGUAUGUAAAGCAUGUAGAACAAUGCCUGUCACAUUAAAAGCCCUAUGAGUGUUUGCUAUUGCUAUUUUUCCACUCACUGCUUAUUGUGCUUAGAUUGACCACUUCAGAUCAUUUAUUUAUUCCUUUAAUCAAUACUUACUGAGUGCCUAUGAUAUUCUGGGCAUUAUGUACAGUGAUCCAUUUGCUUUACGGUAAGCUUUGGCAUGGUCAUCUGGAAAUCCUUUUGCACUCUUGGUUGUACUUAUUAUGGAGGCAGUAAGACCCCAGAGAAGAAACCACUGACCAGUGCUGAUCCUUAGGCAGCCUGUCUUGAGGCUCCCAUGCUCCCAGAACAGCACAGAAAGAACAGAGGCAGACAGGGGUCAGUGAAAGAGACAGUGUGAAUUCAAGCAGAUGUUGGCCCCUUCCCCUAAUCCUCUUCUAUCUGGAACUUUGAGGUAUUUCCACGCAAGGGGGAGGUUGAAGGGAGAAUAGGGACAGAAGAAGGUGGAGGUAUGGAGAAAUCUUGCAAAUGACUAAGCUUAACUUUAUGCCAAUAUGGUAAGAUAAAAGUUCAAAAUGGAAUUAAAUUGAUUUAGAGAAAAUCACUAGGGUAAAGCAUAUAAAAUUGCUGAUAUCUGACAAUUUUUGACAUGCAAAAACAUCAAAUUGAUGUUGUUCAACCUAUAAAAGGUGCAAUAUUUCAUGUACCUCCCAAGUUCGCAGAAAACAUUCAUAGUUGCCACACCUGCUUUAAAUUUUUCACUGUCUUAGAAAAGCUCAAAUAUAAGAAAUCUUCAUCAAGACUUUCUCUCCUUAAAUUGAAAACUAAAGACAAAUUUGGGAACAUGGCUACCUGUGUUAGAAAUUUGAUGAAUGAUAGCUCUGAAGCCUAGAUAACAACUGACAUGUGGAAGUCUUACUUAUUCACCCUAUAAACCAACAUCAACUGAUUAGAUUUCCUUUCUUUAGUCCAAUUUCUAACUGAAUCCCAGUAAUACUCCGUCACAAAAUAGGUUUAUUAAAAAGCUCAGCAAUAUUAGAGCUUUCCAGAAAUUUUCAAGGAUCAAAGUAAAUGGUAGGCUGCAUUCCUGCCAAUUUCUUCAUCCUCACUAAAUGUUUAGGUAUAGUCUCAUCUGGUUGGCUACAGAGAACAGUUACUUUUUUUUUUUCUUGAAACAGUCUCGCUCUGUCACCCAGGCUGGAGUGCAGUGGUGCAAUCUUGGCUCACUGUAAGCUCCCCUUCCCGGGUUCACGCCAUUCUCUUGCCUCAGCCUCCCCAGUAGCUGGGACUACAGGUGCCCACCACCACGCCCAGCUAAUUUUGUUUUUGUAUUUUUAGCAGAGACGGGGUUUCACCGUGUUAGCCAGGAUGGUCUUGAUCUCCUGACCUCGUGAUCUGCCCGCCUCAGCCUCCCAAAGUGCUGGGAUUACAGACAUGAGCCACUGCCCCCAGCCCAGGCACAUUUUUUAAGGGUGACUCUCUGUAUCACCAAGACUAUAGACAGUCCAUCUAAAAUGAAUGCCAAUGCAUGUGUUACACAUCUUAAAAACAAGUGUACCCAAUGUUCAAGCAAAUUCUCCAUCUAGAAAUUUACUUGAAGAAGAUAAUUAAAGACAUACAUAAACAUUUAGGUGCAAUGGUUGUAUCAGUCAGAAAAUAACUAGCACAUUCAAACCAAGAUAAUUAGAGUGGUGUUCAUUCAUAAAGAUGUGGAGGAGUUGUAGAAAAACUGCAAGGGAUAGUGCAGGUGCCCAGGGCUAGCAGCAGCAGCAAAGCUAUUGCCACCCUUAGGCCCAAAAGAAAGGGAUGGGUUCUGAGAACUGGGAAGGAAGUAUUGUAUGGAGGUGGCCACCUUGAGAAGAGUGCUCUUCAGUCGAGGAGUACAGCCAGCUCUAGGAGCCCUCAUAAGGAAAGAACCAGGGGACUGACACUCUGAUCUCGCCCUCCUCCCUCCAAUCUCCUGCUGGGGAGAGGUAUUGCCUGAAGCUGACCGGAAGUCAGAGGGCAAAGGAACCAGUUAAUGUAAUCCCUGAAGAAGAGUAGAGCCGAGAGAAAGAAGGAAAAGGGUAGAAAGUGGAUAUGGAGGAAUGAACAAGAGAGAUCUGGCAUAAAGAUGUUCAUGGAGCACUGUUUAUAAUAACAUAACAUUGGAAAUAAUCCCAAACUAGAAGGAAAUAUAAACAAUUUAAGGUAUAUAUACCAAGUGAAGUGCUAUGCAACCAUUCCAAAUAUUGAUGCAGAAAAGCUCACAAAACUGUAUAAUGUGAUUUACCUUUUCUUAAAAUAGUAUGUAUGUAUAUAGAUAUGUGUUUUUCUAUGUAUUUACAUACAUACACAAUAAAUGCACACACAUUCAUAAGAAAAAAAGACUUAAAGUACGGCCAGGCACGGUGGCUCAUGCCUGUAAUCCCAGAACUUUGGGAGGCCAAGGUGGGCUGAGGUCAGGAGUUUGAGACCAGCCUGACCAACAUGGAGAAACUCCAACUCUACUAAAAAUACAAAAAAUGAGCCAGGCAUGGUGGCGCACAUCCAAAAUCUCAGCUACCGGGGAGGCUGAGGCAGGAGAAUCACUUGAACCUAGGAGGCGGAAGUUGCAGUGAGCUGAGAUGGCGCCACUACAUUCCAGCCUGGGUGACAGAGCAAGACCCUGUCUCAAAAAAAAAAAAAAAAGACUUAAAGCAUAUAAACCAAGAUGUAAAUAGUGGUUAUCACAAGGAGAGUAGGAUUAUAGGUAAUUUUAUCUAUAUAUUUUUUUCUUUUUGAGCAGGAAAAGUUUAAUGUAAAGAAUUAUUGACUGUAACAGGGCAACAGAGAAACAAGGAGUUGGCUAGUUAAAAGUAAACAGAAUGCCAAAGAAUCUGAGAAUGGCAGGUAUGAGCAGCCACAACCCCUACGUCUGAGAUCAAUUACCCAGGAAGAAGCCCUCUCAGAGCUCAGAUCUAGAUGUUGGAGAUGGUACAGCUGUGGUUUAGUAGCUGGCAGGGAAGUUACCAUGCUACUGUGCUGCUGUGCUGCUGUGAUGUUAAAACUUGCUUAAAAUCUGUUCUCUAGGAUGCUAGGGAACACUGUUCACUGGCAGGUGACUCACCAGAGACAUCCUGCUACAAAACCAACUGACAGGUCAGGGUGUUUGAGAAAUGUCUGGCCAUAGGAGCCUUGCCAAGAUGGCACACUGGAACCAGGGAGGAAAACCCAGUCCUUCUGCAAGGUAACUCUGGCUCCCAACUCCAGCUCCCCGUACUGACAAAUCUUAACAUAUGUGCCAGCUGGCAAAGGGAAAAUGUAGAAAGAGAUCAGCUCCAUUUUUGGAGAGCAAGUAAUGAAGGAUGAAUUGGGAGCUGAGAGGCAAUACAUUGAUAACUGGCACACGCUCCAAAUCUUACCACCUAGAGAUACUACUUAUGAACACACACAGUUAUCAAUAUGGUUUUUAACCUGUUAUUUUCCUGCAAUAGCGUGGUGUGGACAGCUUUAUAUGCCAAUAAAUAUGAUCCGCUUCAACAUUUUUCUUUGUCGAGUAGUAUAUAUUCACUUUGUUUUAUAUAGCUGAUUCCCUACUGGUUAAUAUUUAAAUUGACUCCUGUUUUUACUAUUAUAAAUAAUGCUGUACUCAACAUCUUUAAAUGCUUAUUUUAUCAUACUAAAUUAUUAGAAGUUGAAUUGUUGGAACAACUGUUCUAUGUUAAGUUGAUAAGAGUAAAUGCUGGGUGCAUUAUUUAUUUGUUUUAGCAAGAAAGAUAUUUUUUCAUUUUCUGCAUUCCUCAAUAAAGCAUGAAGAUGCUACCUUAGACAUCUGAUAUGGUAUCCAAGUCAAAUAAGGUCAGGUACCAGUGUGGUUCCAAGAAUUUCUCUGAGAGCCAUGUAGCCUGGCCAGGGAAACUAACUGGCAAAGAUGGCAUGUAUCUACCCUGGCUUUUCACUAAAAUAAAGUAUAGGAUUAAAAAAAAAAACUUCAUUUUUCAGAGGAGUUUUAGGAUCACAGCAAAACUGAGUGAAAGUGCAGAAGAAUUCCCAUACACCCCCCCAUCCCCGACCCAAUCUCCACUACCAACAUCCCAUACCAGAGUAGUACACUUGUUAAAAUUAAUGAACCUACAUUGAUACAUCAUUAUCACUAAAGUCCAUAGUUUACAUCAGGGUUCACUCUUGGUUUGUUCAUUCUUUGAGUUUUGACAAAUUUUUAAUGACAUGAACUCACCAUUGUAGUAUCAUACAGAAUAGUUUCACUGCCCUAAAAAUCCUCUGUGCUUUGCCUGUUCAUCCCUCCCUCCCCAUAGCCCCUGAAAACCACUGAUCUUUUUCACUGUCUCUGUAGUUUUGUCUCAUAGUUUUUACGUUCUUCCAAAAUGUCAUAUAGUCGGAAUCAUACAGUAUGUAGCCUUUUCAUACUGGCUUCUUUCACUCAGUAUUAUGCAUUUAUGCAUUUCCUUCGUGUCUUUUCAUGGUUCUUUUUAUUUUUUAAAGCAUUGAGUAAUAUUCCAUUGUCUGGAUGUACCACAGUUUAUCCAUUCACCUACGGGAGGAUAUCUCAGUUGCUUUCAAAUUUUGGCAAUUAUGAAUAAAGCUGCUGUAAACAUCCAUGUGCAGGUUUUUGUGUGGACCUGAGUUUUCAGUUUAUUUGGGCAAACAUCAAUGAGUAUGAUUGCUGGAUCAUAUGGUAAGAGUAUGUUUGGUUUUAUAAAAAAGUACCAGGCCAGGCGCAGUGGCUCACGCCUGUAAUCCCAGCACUUUGGGAGGCCGAGGCGGGCGGAUCACGAGGUCAGGAGCUCAAGAGCAUCUGGGAUAACACGGUGAAACCCCGUCUCUACUAAAACCACAAAAAGUUAGCCGGGCGUGGUGGCUCAUGCCUGUAAUCCCAGCACUUUGGGAGGCCGACGUGGGCGGAUCACGAGGUCAGAAGAUGGAGACCAUCCUGGCUAACACGGUGAAACCCCGUCUCUACUAAAUAUACAAAAAAUUAGCCAGGCGUGGUGGCGGGCGCCUGUAGUCCUAGCUACUCGGGAGGCUGAGGCAGGAGAAUGGCAUGAACCCGGGAGGUGGAGCUUGCAGUGAGCCGAGAUCGCACCACUGCACUCCAGCCUGGGCAAGAGAGCAAGACUCCGUCUCAAAAAAAAAAAAAGUACCAAACUGCCUUCCAAAGUGGCUGCACCAUUUUGCAUUCCCGCCAGCAAUGAAUCAGAGUUCCUGUUCUCCACAUCCUCACCAGCACUUGGUGUCAGUGUUUUGGAUGUUGGCCAUUCUAAUAGGAGUAUGGUGGUGUCUCAUUGUCAUUUUUUUUCUUUUCUUUUUUGAGACAGCAUCUUACUCUGUCACCCAGGCUGGAGUGCAGUGGCACAAUCACAGCUCACUGCAGCCUCGACCUCCCAGGCUCAAGCAAUCCUCCCACCUCAGCCUCCCUAGUAGCUGGGACUACGGGCACAUGUCACCACACCUGGCUAAUUUUUGUAUUUUUUGUAGAGACAGGGUUCCACCAUGUUUCCCAGGCUGGUCUCAAACUCCUGGGCUCAAGCAAUCCACCUGCUCUGGCCUCCUAAAUUGCUAGGAUUGCAGACAUGAGCCACUGUGCCUGGACUCAGUGUCAUUUUCAUUUGCAUUUUCCUGAUAACAUGAUAUUGAACAUCUUUUCAUAUGCUUACUUGCCAUCUCUGUACAUCUCCUUUGGACAGGUAUCUGUAUAGGGCUUCUGCCCAUUUUUUAAUUGGGUUGUUCAUUUGCUUAUUGUUGAGUUUUAAGAGUUCUUUGUAUAUUUUGGACAAUAGUGGGUUUUUUUUAAUCAGAUGUGUCUUUUGCAAAUAUUUUCUCCUGGGCUUCUUAUUCUCUUGACAUUAUCUCUUGAAAGAGUUUUUAAUUUUAAUGAAAUUCACCUUAUCAAUUACUUCUUUAAUGGGUCAUGUCUUUGGUUGAAUCUAAAAAGUCAGUGUCAUACCAAAGGUCAUCUAAAUUUUCUCCUAUGUUAUCUUCUAGGAGUUUUAUAGUUUUGCACUUUAAAUUAUCCAUCUUGAGUUAAUUUUUGUAAAGGAUAUAAAAUCUCGGUCUAGAUUAAUUUUUAUCCAUGUAGGUGUCCAGUUGCUCCAGCAUCAUUUCUUAUAAAGACUGUCUUUAUAUUGUAUUAUAGGAUAUUUAAUUUAGGAUAUUAAACUAAUAAUCCUAACAGCUCCAUUGUCUUGCCUUUGCUCCUUUUGACUAUAUUUAUGUGGGUCUAUUUCUGGGCUUUCUAUUCUUGCCCAUGAUCUCUUUGUCUAUCCUUUGACAAUAAGUUUCUCACCAUAAGUAUGUUGUUAGCUAUAAGUUUUUUGUAGCUGUGGUGUGUGUGUGUGUGUGUGUGUGUGUUUGAGACAAGGGUCUCACUCUGUCACCCACAUUAGAGAGCAGUGGUAUGAUCUCUGCUCACAGCAACCUCCACCUCCCAGGCUCAAUUGAUCCCGAGUGGGUGGGACUACAAGCACACACCACCACACCUGGCUUAUAGCUGUUCUUUAUCAAGUUGUAGAUGUUCCCCCUUAUUCCUCAUUUGCUAAGAGCUUUUAUCAUGAAUUGAUGAUAGAUUUUAUCACUUUUUUUUGCAUCUAUUGAUAUGAUCUUAUGAUUUUUCCCCUUUUAUCUGUUGUGAUGAGUUACAUUAAUUGAUUUUCAAGUGUUGAACCAACCUUGCAUACCUGAGAUAAAUCCCACUUGAACAUUGUUAGACUCAAUUUGCUAAUUUUUUAAUGAGUAAUAUUUUCUUGGCAAAGUUUUUUCAGAAAUUGUUAAAAAUGUAAUUAAGCCAUAUGAAUCUAGUCCUAUCAUUCUAGUCCUAUAAAUUCUAAUUAAGAUAUCUUGGUGGUUAUAUGUGGUAUGUUUACACUACUAAUAUUCACAUGUAAAGCCAUUACACAAAUAAAUAAUUAAUGUUAAAAUUCAAAUGGUUUGUGUUAUUUCACCACAGGGUGAAGAUUAGAAAAUUGUGAAGUCUGCAUUUAAGUCCACAUUAGUUGUAUUUUAACACUAUCCCAAAUUUCAUACAGGAGAAUGGUUUAUUAAAAAAGACUAUGUAAAAUUUAGACAAAAAGUUUGUAUAUAAAUUAAGAGAACAAUCCACUUGAAAAAUGAAAAGCAGAAGACAGCUAACUGAUCACUAAUGACACUUUGUUUAAAGUUAAAACAAUCACAUUGAUUUGGCAGCAAUAAUGGCCUUUAAUUUUCAAAAAUAAAUGUUUUGCACUAGUCUUACCGUUCAUUAUGCUGUUAUAAGUCUGUAACAUCCAGUAUACAACCAUAAUUUGAAAUCCAAACAAAUCCUCAAUACACCAAAACUCACACUUGAGUGUUCUACUUUAAUAUCCUAAGCAAUAUAGAAUUACAUACACGAUAACAAGAGAAAACACUCCUUUAGCCCUGCCUUAAAUUAAGAGAAGACACACAAAGUACAUGUGUUACAUUUCAAUUAUGUCAAAGGACAAUACAAAUCUGUUGGUUAGGUAUAUCUCUGUUCACAGAAUAAUACCUGAUCUACCUUCUUUCCCAAUUAUUUUAUUUUAAAACCUUAAUGUUGUUAGCGUCAGGAAAUGGAAUAAAUAGUGCCUAUUCACAAGUCAAUUACAUCCAGUUUUACAAUAUGUAAAAGACCCUUAUAAUUACCUUUUGUUGAAUUGGUAUACCACAGUCCACUGUAAAACUGAAGGAAUGAUGUGACAAUCUUCAAGAAUUUUACCUACAAAAUGAUUGUGCACACUUUGGCAAAUUCUCUUAGCUUUAAAAGUUUAUUUAAGGCCAGGCAUGGUGGCUCACACCUGUAAUCCCAGCAUUUUGGGAGGCCGAGGUGGGAGGAUCACGAGGUCAGGAGAUCGAGACCAUCCUGGCCAACAUGGUGAAACCGUGUCUCUACUAAAAAUACAAAAAUUAGCUGGGCAUGGUGGUGCACACCUGUAGUCCCAGCUACUCAGGAGGCUGGGGCAGGACAAACGCUUGAAUCCAGGAGGCAGAGGUUGCAGUGAGCCAAGAUUGUGCCACUGCACUCCAGCCUGGCAACAGAGUGAGACUCCAUCUCAAAAAAAAAAAAUGGUUAUUUAAAAAUGGAAUUCAGUAGAUUAACUUCUAAAUAGUCAUCUCAGAUUUUGAAUCUAUAAAAAUUCAUCACAUUGUUGUUGGGACAAAUUGAGAUAAGGCUACAAUUUUUUCCAAGUUAAUAUAUUGAGAAAAUAGAACUGUACUUCUACAAUAAGUCACUAUCGUUUAUUUUUUUAAAGCAAAUCAGUGAAAGAAAAACAAAAACCUUUGGUUCAGUUAUAUAUUUAUGAGUGGAAAAAAAUUAUAAUGUAAAUCCCACUCCUUAAAAAACUUAGGUACAAAUUACAGCACUACAGAUAACCCUCCAUUUGCUUCUUUUGUUUCAUGAAGACCUUGGAGAUUCAACUCAUUUUAAGAUACCUAAGUAUGAGUCCUCCAGGGAAAUAUUACACAAACUGGAAGCAUCUUGGAACUUUUAAGUAUAUUCCAAAACAUAUAUUUUUAUGCAUGCUUUAAACAAACAGUAUUUUUUAAAAUAAGAGAAUCUAAACAGAAAGUAUGAUGAGCACUAGCAUUUAAGUUUUCUGACUUUAGCAUUUAAGUAGUCUGACACAGCAUUCAUUAGUAACCAAGCGGCCCUAAACAUGUACAAUCUGAACCAUGAUUUGUUAAAUAUUACACCCUACUUCCCCAGAACAUUUAGGCUGGUCAUAAAGUUAGAAAUGUGUAAGUAAGUACAUAAGCAUCAUCAGUUAUGGACAGCCUCUUGUAUAAAUUGCUGUUUAGCAAUACACAAACUGCUUCAAAGAUUUAUGCUUAUGGGUAGACAUUCAAUUAUAUCAAUAAAAUAGCAUGUCCUGAAAAUAUGAGCACAUUUUAAAACAUACUAAGAUGAUUCUGUUAACCACAACAGUCCCACAGUAUGACUGAGUAAUAACAAGAAUCUACUUUAAAAGCAAAAAAAAAAAUUAAUCGGCAUAGUGAAUGAUUGAUUCAACACAGCUCCCAGGGAACAGACCAGUCACCUGAUUGAAGACUCCUUCAUAUAAGCCAUUAACAUUCUUUAUAACAUAAAUGACUGCACCCUCCAUAAAUGACAGCUCAUCAUCCUUGUCUUUUGUAUAAUCAUACACUGCAAUGAUGUUCUCAAUAUAAUUCUUUGGGGACCUUGCAGUAUCCUUAUCUGCAUAUGAAACAUUAUACUGAACUAUUGCAGCCUCCUCGUCUUCAUAAUCCACUGGAGUGGGUGAUGGUGGAGGUGGAAAGUCAUCAAACAUGAGAACAUUAUCUGGUGGUGUCGGUGGUGGAGGAGUUAAACUAUCCAAUAAUAGGGGGUGAAGGUAUAGGUACAGCUAUGUGAAUACUAACACUACUGCUUCCUCUGUUUUCUUGACUUCCCUUCCUCCACUACUUUCAUUGUCUGCCUUGGUUUCUGAUUUAAUGAAGCUGACCUGCCUGGACUAUGAUGACUUCCAAACCUAGCAGGAUGCAUCAUAUAGUCAUUAGGAACAGUUGGGGUUUAAUGGGUUCCAGGGUUUUAUAAGGAGUAUUCUGUCCCAGUAAUCCCUGGCCUCAUACGAGAGGACUUGGUGGUUUUGGAAAGAAGGAUUUGCUCUUGUUCUUGGCAGUGUGCCAAUUCUUUUUUUUUUUUUUUUUUUUUUUGAGACAGUGUUUUGUUCUGUCACCCAGGCUGGAGUGCAGUAGCACGAUCUCAGCUCACUGUAACCUUCGCCUCCCGGGUUCAAGCAGUUCUCCUGCCUCAGCCUCCCGAGUAGCUGGGAUUACAGGCACCCGCCACCACACCUGGCUAAUUUUUUGUGUUUUUAGUAGAGACAGGGUUUCACCACAUUGGCUAGGCUGGUCGUGAACUCCUGACCUCAGGUGAUCCACCCACCUUGGCCUCCCAAAGUGCUGGGAUUACAGGUGUGAGCCACUGCGCCUGGCUGGCAGUGUGCCAAUUCUUGCAGGCUGGUUAUUUACAUGCUUGGCACCAUGGUUCACAUCAUUCAGAACUGUGUAGGCAAUAGGUAUCCAAACAUACCUUAUAAGACGCUCCAUAUUUGCAGGCGCUAUUAUUUUGUGAAUUCUUGAUGUAGUCUUAUUUGUUGUCCAAAUACCAAUAUCUCUUCGAGCUACUUUCUCUUUAUUAAUAUCCAUGAUCUGUGAGAUAUGAUUGAUGAAAGACUCCAUUCUUCAAAGUUGAAAGGCUUGGAUGUUCACCAACUGGAGUACAUUGUUAGACACUGUAGUUUUUUGAUAAGUGACACUAACUGGAGGUCCGGUUAUGUAGGCUUUGGUCUCUUCUAAAGCUUUUCUCUUGUCUUCACAGUAGUUCGCCACCUGGUUCAGGUUCUGGUAACUCUCUAUCAGUGCCCUCUUGUGAGACAGGAUCUCCUCUAGUAACAUCUGCAGCUCUGCCAUUUUCCACCCUUCUGUAUCGGUUCCUCUUGCAUUAAAGAAACAGAGGCAGAAAGUUCUACUGAGGCUCCCAGCACCUCAUAGCCUGGAUCCAAACCACCUUGCCACCUGGUAUUGUCAAUUUGUUAAUAUUUUGUUGAGGAUUUUUGUAUCUAUGUUCAUGAGAGAUAUAUCUGUAGUUUUCUUGUAAUGCCUUUGUCUGAUUUUGGUAGUAAGAUAAUUAUGGCCUCACAGAAUGAGUAAAGAAGUACUACUUCUGCUUCUAUUUCUAGAAGAGACUGUAAAUAAUUAAUGUAAUUUCUUCCUUAAAUGUUUGGCAAAGUUACCAGUGAACCCAUCUGGGCUUUCUGUUUUGGAAGGUUAUUAACUAUUGAUUCAAUUUAUGUAGUAGACACAAGUCUAUUCAGAUCAUCUAUUUCUUCUUGCAUGAGUUUUGGCAGAUAGUGUCUUUCAAGAAAUUGGUCCAUUUUUAUCUAGGUUAUCAAAUUUCUGGAUAUAGAACUGUUCAUAAUAUUCCUUUAUCAUCCAUGUAUUAAUAAUAUCUAUGGGAUCUGCAGUCAUGUACUCUUUUUCAUUUCUGAUAUUAGUCAUUUUUGUUCUCUCUCUAUUUUUCUUAGCUUGGCUAGAGGCUUAUUACUUUUGUUGACCUUUACAAAAAACUAGCUUUUUUGUAAAAACUGAUUUUAUUGACUUUCUCUAUUGACUUCCUGUUUUCAGUUUCAUUGAUUGCUGCUCAAAUGUUUAUUAUUUCUUUUCUUCUGUUUACUUCGAAUUUAAUU
rnacentral:lncRNA from 1 species